GAUCCUGGCUCAGGAUGAACGCUGGCGGCGUGCCUAACACAUGCAAGUCGAACGAAGCACCUUACCUGAUUCUUCGGAUGAAGGUCUGGUGACUGAGUGGCGGACGGGUGAGUAACGCGUGGGUAACCUGCCCUGUACAGGGGGAUAACAGUUGGAAACGGCUGCUAAUACCGCAUAAGCGCACGAGAGGACAUCCUCUUGUGUGAAAAAACUCCGGUGGUACAGGAUGGGCCCGCGU
rnacentral:rRNA from 1 species